GACGAAGGAUUCAAGCGUUGUCCGGAUUUACUGGGUUUAAAGGGUGCGUAGGCGGAAAUAUAAGUCAGUGGUGAAAUCCCGCAGCUCAACUGCGGAACUGCCAUUGAAACUGCAUUUCUUGAAUACGGUUGAGGUAGAUGGAAUGUAACAUGUAGCGGUGAAAUGCGUAGAGAUCGGGAGGAACACCAGAGGCGAAGGCGGCGGCCUGGACAGGAACUGACACUCAACUACGAAAGCGUGGGGAUCAAACAGG
rnacentral:rRNA from 1 species